UGGAAUGAGCGGCGGGACGGGUGAGUAACACGUGGGCAACCUGCCUGUAAGAUCGGGAUAACUCGCGGAAACGUGAGCUAAUACCGGAUAACACUUUUCAUCUCAUGGUGAGAAGAUAAAAGACGGUUUCGGCUGUCACUUACAGAUGGGCCCGCGGCGCAUUAGCUAGUUGGUGAGGUAACGGCUCACCAAGGCGACGAUGCGUAGCCGACCUGAGAGGGUGAUCGGCCACACUGGGACUGAGACACGGCCCAGACUCCUACGGGAGGCAGCAGUAGGGAAUCUUCCGCAAUGGACGAAAGUCUGACGGAGCAACGCCGCGUGAGUGAUGAAGGUUUUCGGAUCGUAAAACUCUGUUGUUAGGGAAGAACAAGUUGGGUAGUAACUGACCCAACCUUGACGGUACCUAACCAGAAAGCCACGGCUAACUACGUGCCAGCAGCCGCGGUAAUACGUAGGUGGCAAGCGUUGUCCGGAAUUAUUGGGCGUAAAGCGCUCGCAGGCGGUUUUUUAAGUCUGAUGUGAAAGCCCACGGCUCAACCGUGGAGGGUCAUUGGAAACUGGAGGACUUGAGUACAGAAGAGGAGAGUGGAAUUCCACGUGUAGCGGUGAAAUGCGUAGAGAUGUGGAGGAACACCAGUGGCGAAGGCGACUUUCUGGUCUGUAACUGACGCUGAGGAGCGAAAGCGUGGGUAUCGAACAGGAUUAGAUACCCUGGUAGUCCACGCCGUAAACGAUGAGUGCUAGGUGUUAGGGGGUUUCCGCCCCUUAGUGCUGCAAGUUAACGCA
rnacentral:rRNA from 1 species